rnacentral:lncRNA from 1 species
GGAAGACCCAGCUGCAGCUGCCCAGGCACCGUGAGUGUGUCCAGCCCAGCUCCAUGGCAAUGAUCUCUGCCUUAGAGCGUGCGACUGGGCUGGGGCAUUUUCUUUUCUGCUCUGCUCCUGUGGCAGCACAGGAUUUUCUUCCCUUCUCACCUUUUUUUUCUGGGUUUUCUCGUAAGACAGUUUAAGCAAACAGACUUUGUUGGCUUAACAAGUCAUCCGAGCUGAGCUAGGGAAGGCAGUCAAUAUUAGCAGAAAGGCUUGUCUUGUGAGUGUUCUUUUCUAAAGCCUCUGAAAGAAUCUGGAUGAGAUCUACACCUUCCUGGGAUGGAACUGGAGCCAGGCAAGACAAGAGAGGUUGGAGAGAGACUGUGGAGGAGGUGAAAAGGGCAGGAAGCCAGACAGAGAAGGGGUUCUGGAUGACCCUCUUGGAUCAAUGAGAGAAUCUACAGACCAGAGGGGCGGUGCCAUUAUGAAGGUCAAUUCUCCAGUUGGGAAUUUGUGAAGAAGAAGAAGAAGAAGAAGAAUGGUGAAUGGAAAUGUAGCCGUUGUCUUCAAGGUUGUCAUCUUUGGGCAGAGAGACCUCCGUGGGAAAAAAACGGCCCAGAGGACCUUUGAGAUAGAGUCAGAGGAGAAGAGAGGAGGUGAGCCCUGUCCUUGGCAAUGAAAACGGAG